GACGAACGCUGGCGGCGUGCCUAACACAUGCAAGUCGAGCGCGCAGCCAUCGGUGGCAAUACCGGUGGUGGGCGAGCGGCGAACGGGUGCGUACCACGUGGGCAACCUGCCCCAGACUCUGGGAUAACCCCGGGAAACCGGGGCUAAUACCGGAUACUCUCGGCCGGCCGCAUGAUCGGCCGAGGAAAGCUCCGACGGUCUGGGAUGGGCCCGCGGCCUAUCAGCUUGUUGGUGGGGUAACGGCCUCCCAAGGCGACGACGGGUAGCUGGUCUGAGAGGACGGCCAGCCACACUGGGACUGAGAUACGGCCCAGACUCCUACGGGAGGCAGCAGUGGGGAAUCUUGCGCAAUGGGCGAAAGCCUGACGCAGCGACGCCGCGUGAGGGAUGAAGGCCUUCGGGUUGUAAACCUCUUUCGGCAGGGACGAAGCGAAAGUGACGGUACCUGCAGAAGAAGCCCCGGCUAACUACGUGCCAGCCGCCGCCGUAA
rnacentral:rRNA from 1 species